UUAAUUGAAGAGUUUGAUCAUGGCUCAGAUUGAACGCUGGCGGCAGGCCUAACACAUGCAAGUCGAGCGGCAGCACGAGGGAGUUUACUCCUGAGGUGGCGAGCGGCGGACGGGUGAGUAAUGCCUAGGGAUCUGCCCAGUCGAGGGGGAUAACAGUUGGAAACGACUGCUAAUAC
rnacentral:rRNA from 1 species